UACGUAGGGUGCAAGCGUUGUCCGGAAUUAUUGGGCGUAAAGAGCUCGUAGGCGGUUUGUCGCGUCUGCUGUGAAAACUCGGGGCUUAACCCCGGGCCUGCAGUGGGUACGGGCAGACUAGAGUGCGGUAGGGGAGACUGGAAUUCCUGGUGUAGCGGUGGAAUGCGCAGAUAUCAGGAGGAACACCGGUGGCGAAGGCGGUGAUCUGGGCCAGUACUGACGCUGAGGAGCGAAAGCGUGGGGAGCAAACAGG
rnacentral:rRNA from 1 species